rnacentral:rRNA from 1 species
UACGAAGGGGGCUAGCGUUGCUCGGAAUCACUGGGCGUAAAGCGCACGUAGGCGGACUCUUAAGUCAGAGGUGAAAUCCUGGAGCUCAACUCCAGAACUGCCUUUGAUACUGAGAGCCUUGAGUUCGGGAGAGGUGAGUGGAACUGCGAGUGUAGAGGUGAAAUUCGUAGAUAUUCGCAAGAACACCAGUGGCGAAGGCGCUCACUGGCCCGGUACUGACGCUGAGGCACGAAAGCGUGGGGAGCAA